UAUCUGUACCUUUUUCUUCAAUUUGAUCAAAUCAAAAUUAAUCUGUGUGUCUAUACCAACUCUGACACCUCAAGCCAUACACAACAAAGAUCAAGAACUCUUUCAUAUCUCCUCAAACUAUGCAAGGCCAGUGAGAUGAAAAGCACUCCAUGAAUAAUUCCCAAUAAAUAUCGAGUCAAUUGGAUUGUAAGAGAAAAAUAUAUAUAUUCACAUUAUUGUGAGAUGAGAAAUGCCCAGAACACCCACAGAGAGCUGGUGUGUCUCCGUUUAGGUGCCUUGAUUUGUCUAUCGGGCGAAAAAAUCAAGAGUUUCUGACCUAUUGUUCGACCCAGAGUGACAUUCUUCAUUGUGAAAUGAUGACUCGUAAAUGCCAGCGAGGUGUCGGCAGGGGGGAUGGAGGUUAAAUUGCAGGUGAUUGCCUUUGCUCGUCAUCUCUCUCUGGGGCUCUUUUCCUCAGGCAUGUCCUCCCCGUAUCAAUUGAUCUGGCUGAGCGUCUUCCAAGCUCUUCUCUUUUUUUUGUCGCGGUACAAUACCUCCAAAUCUACGAUCAAGGCACUCACCAUGGCUCUCGGGUUUAUUUUUUCUGUGUUCCUCAACAAUGUUGGGUAUCAGUGGAAAACAUAUGGGAGAAUCUCGGGGAAAAAACUGCAUCAUGAGUGCCAAAAAUUGUCAUCAUCUCUUUUGGGGGUUUUAUGCAUUUUUUUCUUACAUCCAAGAGCGAAGGGCUUCACCCAUGGGUUGGAACGAAAAAAAAAUAAACUGAUGCAUCACUGAGAGACUCCUGAAGAUCUCAGCGGGUGAUUGGAUUGUCUGUCUUUUGGCAUUUCAGACACAAUCAAAUCCAUUCUCGUGAAAUUUAUCGAUUCCCUAGAGGUGUUUCAUUUCAGCACGAGAGUUUGAGGGGAUAUGGGGACGCACACUAUCGCGGGUUGAAAUGCGAUCGAAAUUCUCUCGUCGAUACAUAAGAUCUCAAUUUUAGGGGGGACAAUUUCGCACGUCUGAUCGUGGAGAGUGUGAUUCCCAUACGCAAGUUUGUGCGGUUUUCUGAAAACAAUCCGCAUAACAUGACAGGGUGUGAGCCUCCAAAAGGAGGGGCAUUUCAGUACUUCCUUAAAUUGUUUUAACAUUAUAAUUCUUUUUGGGGGAUUUUGAGAAAAAUUGUUUAACAAUUAAUUAGAUUUUCUUUUGCACAACAUUUUCCUUACCCUUUGGAAAAGUAACGAAAAAUCUUUGAAUUUUUAUAAAAAUAAUUUUAGCUUGAACUUUUAAUUGGUUAAAAGUUCAAUUGUGGCUUUAAAAACUUUUAAGAAAUAUUUCUAUUAAGGCACAAAAGUAAUUUACAAAAAUUCGCAACAUUUCCCUCACCGUUUAAAAAAAUACGAAUUUUUUUAAAAAUAAUUUUUACUGAUUUUAUUGUGAAAUUUUUAAUAGUUUUAAUUUUACUUAAGUUAUGAUUAUGUCUUUAAAAGCUUUUUGUAGAUUUUAAUAAAAGCCUAAUUUAAAAUUCAAAAAAAGAACAUAACAUUACCCUAACCCUUAAAAAAUAUUUAAAAAUGAUUUUUUUUUAUUUUAUAAUUUUAACUAUAAUUCAAAUUUUGAGGAUUUUAGUAUUUAUUAAUAUUCAUUUGAGAAUAUUUUAAAUUCUGUAAAUUUAAAAAGAAAAUAAUAAGGAAUCUAAUUUCUUUAAUUUUAAAUAAUUUUAAUAAAUAUUUAAUUAUGAUUAAAUUCUCAAAAUUAGUGUUUGCUGAUAAUAUUACAAAAUUUCCUUCUAAACUUUAUAAAAAUGCAAAAUAUUCCAAAAAGAAACUCCCUUCAAUUCCAUUAGUUAGCCACCCCUUUUGGAUGUUACAGUGCAAAGGACGAGGAGUACCCCAAAAACAGAUAAAACCACACAGCGAAAAAAUAAUAAAAAAAACCUUGCAAAAAUGAAUACAAAAAGAAGCACUUUGGACACACAUUCGUCCACACAGCACCUAAAAAGAGCUCUUGCAAAAAAAAAAGAGAACCGUGGAGACAUGGAAGCAUUGUGAAUAAUAAAUUGGAAUUCCUUUUACACGGGGGACAAACACUGUCCGUGUGAUUUUGUUUCACUUUUUCGAUGGAAUGUUCAUCUUCUUCUCGUGGGCAAAGGCAACAUUUAUAAGAAAUGGUGUGAGAGAAGAAAUCCCACAAGACCACUUUUCUGGCUAAGCAGCUUAAAAAGUUUUAGAAAACGAUUUGGUGUCCAAAAGACACAUUUUGCCGGUUUUUUGUUGUUGUUGUUGUAUUUAAGAAAUGCUUUGCUCUUCCCUCGCUCUUGGGAGCAUCGCAUUUCUAAGAAAAAUCUCUGGUAUUUUUCGGUCAAGGCACACACACAGAAUGCUCAAAAUGGAAUCUCUCUCUCUUCCUAACCCAAAAGAUAUAGAAGAUGAAAGACACAGGCUGUGAGGAAAGAUGAGUAAAAGGAAAAAAAAAAGCAUCUCAAGAGAUGGAAGAAUCAUUUUCGAAAAUGCUAAUACAGCGUUGCACACAGUAGGGGGCUAAAUCUUUAUUCCAUUUUGGGAGAAAUUUUCAUUUCUUUCCUCCUUUUUUUACGGGGGAUUUUGUUGAGAGGAAAAGUCAUUUAGAUGGUAAUUAGAGACAAAAUUAAAAGGAAGAAAAAAACAAGAGAAGAACGUACGAUCGGUACGAUCAAUAAGAUUUGGGGAAGAUUUGCAUUGAUGGGGAACACUCCAUGUGCUUUUGUGUGCCAAAGCAUUAAUUAAUUAAUGCAUUUGGGAUGGGUUUUUGUGAUGGUGCCACAAUAAUGGGGAUCGUUGAAACCCUAGAAAUAGCCGGGGAAUGUCAACGCGCGAUCGCAAGUGAGAGAGAAUUGGCGAAAAAUCGCAGUUUUACGCGCGCGUGAAAUGCGCUCACACUGGCAAUUAUCCUGAAUAAUUUAGUUGCAAUUAGCAAUUUGACGUCGUUAAGGCGGGCAUUGGUGUGCAGUUUGCAAUUUAACCCCAUGACACGGUGGACAUGUUUAUUGGUGAUAUUUAUCGUCACCUCAUGAGCCCUUCACGUCACUUUGCAACUGCCAUCGUCCAUCUUUCACGUUUUGCCUAAAGUGAUCUUCAUACAUCGAAUGUGCAUGAUCAUAGGAAAAUUUCUGCAGCAUAAGAUCACGAAGGAUCGCAUAGAUUUCACUCCAAGGAGGACCUACAUAUACAUAUAUAUAUUUGAAAUUGAAUCAAUUUGUGACCAUUUUUGUUGGUGAUCGCAUCACGUGCGAUCGCGCAGUGCAAGAUCGAUGAUCGGUGUCCCGCAUUGGCAUCCAAAUUUGUCACAGGAACGCUGUCAAAUGUCAGGAAAGUUCGACCCUGUCGAAUUCCUUGGAUGCAAAAAUAGACAAGAAGUAUCGAGAGAUGGAGAGCGACGUGUGAUCCGCUCGACAAACAGAUCGACGUGCUAGAAUAUAAAAUGAUGGCACAUCACGCGCGUUUGCCUAUUGCCGCAUGAGAAUUAUAAGAAUAGUAUUGGGAUGCUCUCACUAUAGGCAAAUAGGAUAUAACACAGCAUAUGAGUGUGAAAGAACCCCAAUCUUAUGCAUUGCAAUCUGCACGUCUCUCUUGCACCUCUAUGCACGAUGAUCGCGAAAAUGACUCUGCCGAUGCCAUUUUAGUCAUCGCACCACAGAGAAGAAUUCCCUUCAUUCAUUCACAUUUGCUCACUUUUCGUGAAUUGCACCAUGAAUUUUCCCUUUUAAUUGGUAACUUAUAUCAACACGCACACACACACCGCGUGCGAUCACGGUCAAACCAUCAAUGGUGAUCAUUAUGCGGCAAAAUAUUUUGAAGUUGCACUGAGGAAAAAAAAAGUGCGAGAUUGUAUUUUUUUGAUGUUAAGAAGAUGUGUUAUAAAAUCCCAUUUAAUGCCUUCUCUCCAUGAUGGGGCAAAAAGAAUCAUCUCACAAGCGACCGAUGAUUCACAACAGAGGCUGUCUUUGUGAUCGCGCGAUCGCUGUGUGAAACGUUUAAUUAACCUUUUUAUUUAUAGACAUCCCAAUGCGCGCGCAAUUUUUCGAAAUAAAUGACUUAUGACAGAAAUAGAUUCUUGCAGCAAAUGGACCUACAAAUAAAGACAUUCAUCCCAAGGGGGAGAGAGGUGGGAGGGGGGGGGCGAUUUCAAUACCUGCCAAGGUCUCUCUGAUGGGCGGACGUCCUCUGUGACCAAAUCGAAUGAUCUUGUGUGGUUGAAGCGCGAUCUUCCCAUUGCCAAUCUCUCCUCUUUUCACCUUAAUGAUUGCAAGAGCGGAAAGAUUGAUAUACGAGGUGUUUUCCCGCGCACAUUUCAAUUUGAAUAUUCAUAUUGGUUCAAACUGUAUAUUGGUGGUAGCCUCGUUGUCUGCAAUGGACAUCAAUUAGAUAUCCACGUUACACCGCAAUGUCUAUUUUGCAGUGGGGCACACAUGAAGAAAAGAUUUUCAUAUAUGUGGACGCAUCGUGGCGGCCCAAAAGGAGCUGCCAGAGACAACCAGGCGCGUUGAAGCAUGCAGCAAUAACAAUAAAAUUGCACUUUACGACGCUCCUCAAAUGGUGGCGUUUUUGCCAUCAUCAGUCCACCAGUGUGUGGACCCCGAAGUCUCCCCAUUUGCAUUUGCAAAUAUGGUAGGCGUUACUAAUUUGCUAAUUCGCGACGGCUGAACUUUUAUGAUUUCAGGAUCGAAAAUUUUAAUUUUAUCUCUCUGUUGAGAAGAACUCAACUUCUGUAUCCCACCUUUAAUCACUUUCUGCUGGGGCCCCACAUUCCGUGUACCAGGCAGCUAAAGGAAUUUAUCAAUUAAUGAACGAUGGGAAUGCAUAUUCGUCCUUAGGUCAUUCACAAAACUUCUUUCUCGCUGCAGAUCUUUCAGCUAAUGGGAAUUUUGACUUAAAAACAAUUAAUUUCUUUUUUGGACUUUUAAUUUUCUUUGGUUUUCCAUAUUAAAUUCAAUUAAAUAAUUAAAAAAAAUAAA